rnacentral:rRNA from 1 species
UACGAAGGUCCCAAGCGUUGUUCGGAAUCACUGGGCGUAAAGGGAGCGUAGGCGGCGUGGUAAGUCAGAUGUGAAAUCCCGGGGCUCAACCCCGGAACUGCAUCCGAUACUGCCAUGCUAGAGGAUUGGAGAGGUAGCUGGAAUUCUUGGUGUAGCAGUGAAAUGCGUAGAGAUCAAGAGGAACACUCGUGGCGAAGGCGGCUUUCUGGUCUGUAACUGACGCUGAGGCGCGAAAGCGUGGGGAGCAAACAGG